AGGACGAACGCUGGCGGCGUGCUUAACACAUGCAAGUCGAGCGACGCUCCUCCUUCGGGAGGAUGACGGAGCGGCGAACGGGUGAGUAACACGUGGGCAACCUGCCCCUAGCUCUGGGAUAAGCCCGGGAAACCGGGUCUAAUACCGGAUACGAGACUGAGAGGCAUCUCUUGGUCUGGAAAGUUUUUCGGCUAGGGAUGGGCCCGCGGCCUAUCAGCUUGUUGGUGGGGUAAUGGCCUACCAAGGCGACGACGGGUAGCCGGCCUGAGAGGGCGACCGGCCACACUGGGACUGAGACACGGCCCAGACUCCUACGGGAGGCAGCAGUGGGGAAUAUUGCACAAUGGGCGAAAGCCUGAUGCAGCGACGCCGCGUGAGGGAUGACUGCCUUCGGGUUGUAAACCUCUUUCAGCCCUGACGAAGCGAAAGUGACGGUAGGGCAGAAGAAGCACCGGCCAACUACGCGCCAGCAGCCGCGGUAA
rnacentral:rRNA from 1 species